rnacentral:rRNA from 1 species
UGCGUAGGCGGCCCUGUGUGUCAGAGGUGAAAUCCCACGGCUCAACCGUGGAACUGCCUUUGAAACUGCAGGGCUUGAGUCCGGAAGAGGAAGGUGGAAUUCCUGGUGUAACGGUGAAAUGUGCAGAUAUCAGGAAGAACACCCGUGGCGAAGGCGGCCUUCUGGUCCGGUACUGACGCUGAGGCACGAAAGCUAGGGUAUCAAACG